AUUGACAUUAGUCAAGAUGUGGAAUCAAGCUAAGUGUCCAUCAACAGAUGAAAAGAUUUUAAAAAGUGAUAUAUAUGUAUGUGUGUGUAUAUACAUGUAUGUAUGUAUAUGUGUGUCUGUGUAUGUCUCUCUCUCAUAUAUAAUGAAAUAUUAUUCAGUCUUCAAAAAAAAGGAAUGCUUCCAUGCCUUCCACAUGUGACAACAUGGAUAAAUCUAGAGGGCAUUAUGCUAAGUGAAAUGAACCAGAAACAGGAAGACAAAUCCUGCGUGUAUCACUUACAUGUGGAAUCUAAAAAAGUUGAACUCUUUAGGCACCAAUAUUUUUAAAGUAGGAUCAUUUCUCCUAAUAAUAUGAAUUUCCAGUUUUUCCAGAAAGAUAGCAAGAAUUACAAUGCUGGGUCACAAUGGCACGAUAGUCUGAGGCUAAGGCCCACUUCAGAUAAAGCAUGCAUUCUUUGUUUACCUCAGUGUCUGCUCACCACAAUUUAUUCACUGCUAAUACCCUCUUGUUCCCUGCAGGUACAUCUGUGUGUGACACCUAUGUGUGUUUUUCAAAGAGCAAAAGUCUUUAUAACUAUAGGAGCUUAUUGAGAUAAAGAAAACUACAGCUUUUUAAAGACGGUUAUUUCCCUGCUGGGAUUUGGGAAGAUUUCUUCAUGUGAAAUAAGCAGAGGGAAUUUGAACUAAAUAACUCCAUUGCCUACUGAAGAAGCUGCCCAGAAAAGAGAAAGGUGCUGCUCAUCAAAUAUUCUUUCAACGUUCCUCUCACAGAGCCAACUUGAAUGGAGACUUCCUUAGACAACCAGAGAAAAGUUUUAUGGCUACAGUAAAUAAAUUUUUGUUGCUAUGUAAGCCAGAAUGUAAGCAGGAAUCCUUAAUGAUACUCUAGAUAUACCUGGAGGAAACUUUUGCCAUACUUCAUACAUUGCUGACAUGUCAGCUACAACACUUCACACUUGACUGAGGCGCUAUUAAAACAAUUACCGAGUCAUUAACAAGAGCUUUUAAGACCAGUUUUGAAAUCACACUAGCAAAAAAUUUGCUUUGAUAGUCAUAUUAGCCCCCAGUGUGGCCUGGACUUGGGCAGUUUUCAACUUCAAGAUUCUCUCUCCUGGCUUCUUAUCUAUUUAUCCCUUUGAUUCCUGAGAACACUCCAAAUGCAGGUAUAAACUAUAUUUCAAAUGUCAUUAAAACUUCAUCCAUCUAGGCCUGAACUAAUGGAAAACUACUUUGAAAAUGUCUUUGAUUUUGAGUAUCCACAUUCUGACCAUUCUGAGAGCUAACAGGGAAAGAAAAAUUGGAAAAACCAAAGGACAGUCCCUCUUUUAUAUUCUCAGGGACCCAAGGACAAGAUUCAAUAAAAAUUUAUGCCCCAUCUUCUAAAAUCUUUUAUAGCAAUUACUACCACCCGAACCUCAGACACAGUUUUUGACCUUUUCAUACUUGAUUAACUUUAUUCUGCUUACUCCUCUCAAACUUGGGGACUUCUCUCCUCUCAUCUCUAACAUCCUAAUGUUCACCAUCCUUCAUGCAGACUGUGGCUAUCCUGAAACAUCCAGUGAGACAGCUCACUCACCUUCCUUACCCACAAUGCCACACCUAGUCCAAAUUACCUUAUAACCCCUACAGAAAAAAGUUCUAUCUUUUCUCUGUUAACUAGGUAUGUACAGAGAGGAGUAUAUACUCGUAUCCUAAUCAAAGUAAUUUAGGCAGAUUAUAAGUUACUAUUAGAGCUAAUCAAUGAAAUACAUAUUUGCAUUUUAAAGAGGAGGCCAACAGAAAUGAAUUAUCGGAUGCAUAACCUCCUAUCUCUGAG
rnacentral:lncRNA from 1 species